rnacentral:lncRNA from 1 species
GGGCAAGCCAUGGGACUGGAAGGCAGCAGGCAGAUGUCAGGGUUGGGGAUUACUGGCUCAGAAGCAGGGUCAUGGGAUACAUGAACUUCAGGCUUAAUCUCUGUGUGAGAAAAACAGCAUGAAGAUAAUCAACUCUAUGUCAGAAGAAAUUGGCAACACUACUAACCAAGAGUAAUGCACACCGAAGAAUUCACCUUCUUAUGGAGUCACCUUCAUCCCUCUGCUCAGCAAACAUGUCUCUCCUAUAAGCAAAUUCAAUGAGGAAUUUUUCCCCUUUAUUGUUGACACAGUAUCUCUUUACAACGGUAAGUUGUGCAUCUUUUCAGCCUGUCUUCAUAACCAUCAUGUGAUUUCAUGC